AAAAAAUGGUCAGUCAUCAGUUGACCUUAGAUUUCAAGUAUGCACACAUGCAGCCCUCAGAUGGAGAGUCAACAGUCCCCAGGUCUGGAGGUGGCUGAUGAGGAAGAGGAGGAACAGCUGGGUCCCAUGUCUGAUAUGCAGAUGCUCAGAAGGCAGAGGAGAGCAGUGGAAAUCUGUGGGCCGAUCCUGGGGAAAGAAGAGCCACCACUGCUAGCGAGACCCCACCCUAGCUCUGGGGAUAAAAGGCAGGGGGCAGAGAUGAGCAGGUGUGGCAGACAACUAUUCAUUUUCCGGACGGAUGGACUUGUUGGUCUGCAAUGGAAACUUUUUGCCAGGGCUGCUAUCAUUCCUAAUAAAGGAAUCUUUUGAGUUCA